rnacentral:ncRNA from 1 species
GUUGCAACGGUGAAGAAGAAGAGUAGAAAUAAUCCAUUUUUUCAAGAGAGCCGAUGACGGUGGAAAUUCGGUAAAAAUAUUAUUUUGAAAGGAACUUUGGAGUUGUUUUUCGAAAGAAAGAGACGCUAUGUAGCGUAACAAGGGUGGAACCGCGGAAUGAUACUUUCGUCCCUUGG